rnacentral:sRNA from 1 species
ACAACACACCACGUGAAAACACGAAGACCACAGAUAAGCUGUGUAUGUAGGCUAAAGGGAAACUGUUGUCCUUGGGGGUCACAUGGAUAUAGGACAAAGGGAUUACUGUUUCACCGAUUUCUUUCGAGAAUAUUCUAAGGAGAUAUAUCUUCUAAUGCUGAGAAUAGCAUGAACUUCAGAAAAAAAAUUGUAACGGAAUACUUAUGUCUGAGUAUUUAGGCAUACAAGACCCCAGAGACUAAAUACCAUGGUCUCAUUUUCUACCCUCUCUGAAUUACUUUUUUGUUUUCUCUUCAGUGAGAAGGAGGAGAGUAGAGGCAAGCAGGCUUUGGUGUUCCACAGGCCUGGGUUCAAACCUUGAUUCUACAGGAAGAGAUAGUUCAGUUGUGACCAUAGAGUCCAGGAGAAGAUGUCAGAUCCUUUGGAGUUGAAGUCACAGGUGACUCUGAGCUGCCUGCCAUGAGUGCUGGAGAGGGCUGAAGCAGUCUUUUCCACAAAUGUUGCUCGGACGACUGCACUUUCACGGAUUAAAAAGUUGGCAGCGCCUGGCCAUGCCCUGGCGAUGACUAAUCUAUCAUAAGGUAUGUGGGCCAUACCACUAUGACAAGUACCAAUAGAAGUGCUUCUCAUGGUCUAUCCUGCUCUAAUCUUCCAAAUGUGCAUGCUCUUGUGGAUGGAUGUCUGCCAGUGCUUAUGUGGUGGGUGGGUGGAAAAGGUGAGGUCUACCAUGUUGCCGUAGAGUUUUGAAUUGUCAGAGUGGUGAACACAGCUGUACCGGUAAGAGCGAACUUUUCUGGCAUGAAUGACCUUGGUGUUGGGAUCAAUGGCAGAUGACAGCUGGAGAUUUUCGGGGUGAGCAUCAGGUGUGUAGUCCAGUGUCAUGGAUUCCUAGUCCAACUCUUUUCCCAGGAUGCCUGUCAGAAUCCAUGACAGGCGCAAAGCCGGACUCACAACGACAGUGCUUGCGUCUGGACCAUACGUGCUGUAUACAGUCGGAGGGAAGUUUUCAUGCUUCUCCAUGGUGUCAGCUCCCUGACAGUAGACCACCAAUGAUGCUGCCUUUAAAGCUGUCAUGCAUGCCAGCCCUGCUGCAGCCCCUCCAUUGAUUGGAGGCUCCUGGAGGUAAAGGGCUCCCUGCCAGUUUCCUUGGAUUAGAAUGACAGCCCUUUAGAGUAAGCAUCCCAGCGAGCAAGUGACUUGGCAACCAAACCCCUGGUGUCUCUUCUGAUGUCACACAUAGCAGCCUGUUUUGACGUUAUGGUGGCUCGCUGAGAGAAUACCUGCUUCUCCCAGGAUCUGCCUGAGAUACAUAGAGAUGUGUGACAGGCUUGUGUGGGGCUUCAGAGGCACCGUCACGUGUGGUAGAAUGGAGCAAAACCUGCUCUCAAUAGCUCUCGCCAGCACAUUUUCACUUCGUACGGAUCACUAGAGAAGCCGAAGAUUUUGGUUGUCAUACAGAAUCAUUGUAGCCCAGGCUGACGCUGAACUCGGACUCUCCUUGCUUUGCCUCCCCAUUGCUCCAUUACUGAUGUCCACCAAUCCCUGAACAGAGUCUGAAAGAUCCCAAACGAGACUAUAAAGAAUGUAUUUCCGAGCUUAGUGUGGAAGGCAAGCAAGAAUCUUUGCGUUUUUAAAGGGCUACCCUGCACCAGCCAGCCUUGCAUUCUAGGGUAGUUCAGCUGAAACAAACUCAAAACUCAUCAAGUUCUUAGCGCUUUACUCAAUGACCAAACCUGCCCCUCACUAGCCAACAAUUUUACUGCAGCCAUAUUGGGAAGGUUAAGGGAGGGUUUAUCAAAUCCGCCCAAUUAGUGGAAGAACUGACAACGGAAGCAAUUGUUUCUUGACUGUAAAUUCUGCCUUUGCUUCCCACUGCCUUUCAUUCUAAUGGCAGGAUGGGAUUCCCUGUGAAAAUCUAGAGGUAACAUAUCAAUCAGUUACUUCCCACAAGGGAGAUGAAACAUAAACUCUCCUUGUCAGUGAGAGUGGACUUUGGGGCAUCCAUUCAAAUGCAUCGUGUUU